GAUGAAGAACGCAGCGAAAUGCGAUACGUAGUGUGAAUUGCAGAAUUCAGUGAAUCAUCGAAUCUUUGAACGCACAUUGCACCUCUCGGUAUUCCGGGAGGUAUGCCUGUUCGAGCGUCAUUUGUACCCUCAAGCUCUGCUUGGUGUUGGGUGUUUGUUCCGCCUCUGUGUGUGAACUCGCCUCAAAACAAUUGGCAGCCGGCGUACUUGUUUCGGAGCGCAGCACAUUUUGCGAUCCAGAUCAACGUACAGCGGCAUCCAAGAAGCCUUAUUUAACGCUCUUGACCUCGGAUCAGGUAGGGAUACCCGCUGAACUUAAGCAUAACAAUAAGCGGAGGA
rnacentral:misc_RNA from 1 species